rnacentral:tRNA from 1 species
UGGCUCAGAAGUUAAGAGCACUGGCUGCUCUUCCAGAGGUCCUGGGUUCAAUUCCCAG